rnacentral:lncRNA from 1 species
GCAUGCUGCUGCUGCUUGCAUCCAGGGCCCUGUGCAUGGUGCUUCAUAGCCAGAAGCUGGAAAGAACCCAGAUGCCCCUCAACAGAGGAAUGGAUACAAAAAAUGUGGUACAUUUACACAAUGGAGUACUACUCAGCUAUUAAAAGGAAUGAAUUUAUGAAAUUCCUAGGCAAAUGGUUGGACCUGGAGGGCAUCAUCCUGAGUGAGGUAACACAAUCACAAAAGAACUCAAAUGAUAUGUACUCACUGAUAAGUGGAUAUUAGCCCAGAAACUUAGUAUACCCGAGAUAUAAGAUACAAUUUGCAAAACACAUGAAACUGAAGAAGAAAGAAGACCAAAGUGUGAACACUUUGCCCCUUCUUAGAAUUGGAAACAAUCACCCAUGGAAGGAGUUACAGAGACAAAGUUUGGAACUGAGACAAAAGGAUGGACCAUCUAGAGACUGCCAUAUCCAGGGAUCCAUCCCAUAACUAGCCUCCAAACGAUGACACCAUUGCAUACACUAGCAAGCGUUUGCUGAAAGGACCCUGAUAUAGCUGUCUCUUGUGAGACUAUGCCGGGGCCUAGCAAACACAGAAGUGGAUGCUCACAGUCAGCUAUUGGAUGGAUCACAGGGCCCCCAAUGGAGGAGCUAGAGAAAGUAUCCAAGGAGCUAAAGAGAUCUGCAACCCUGUAGGUGCAACAACAUUAUGAACUGACCAGUACCCCGGAGCUCUUGACUUUAGGUGCAUAUGUAUCAAAAGAUGGCCUAGUCGGCCAUCACUGGAAAGAGAGGCCCAUCGGACACACAAACUUUAUAUGCCCCAGUACUGGGGAACGCCAAAGCCAAAAAGUGGGAAUGGGUGGGUAGGGGAGUGAGGGGGAGAGUAUGGGGGACUUUUGGGAUAGCAUUGGAAAUGUAAUUGAGGAAAAUACGUAAUAAAAAAAAUUAAAAAAAAAAAAAAAAAAAAAAAACACGCUAUCGCCAACUAGGCACCAGACGACGGUCUCCGUCUGUUCCCAGCCCGGUACUGAAACCGCAUGUUUCCCUUUUGCCGAUGGCUGUCCCACCAAGGCUGACUCUACCUCUCCAGAGCUCCGAAAUCACUCUCUCCACUCCUUGGCUGGCUGCUGCCAAGGCCGCUCUGCACUCCCAAAUUUCCAGUUAGCUGUAGGUGUGCUCUCGCCAGCCCACACUUCGCUUGCUACCUUCCCCCUGGAGCUCACAGUCUUCCUGUCCCAAAGCAUGACUGAAUUCUGCCUUGGCUUUGUCCCUUCCCUUUGACCCACCUGAGUCACCAUGGAAGAAAAACACCAGGCAAUCUUAGUUUAAAAUCAACCGAAAACACAACUGCUGGGCGCAGAACCCUAAAUUUAUCAACUAUUCUAUGUUUAUAAAUCUUCCGGUGGCCGAUCUCCACCACCCAGCCACCAAGCCUCCGCAGUCCACAAGGAAGUUCUUCCCCUCCUGCCUUCCCUCUUCCUCUCUCAGACCUGGAAGUCCCACCUCCUUCUCGCCCAGUGAUUGGCUUCCUGUUUUUAUUAUUAUUGUCAAUUAGGGCGGAAAUCCGCUACAUCCAUGGAUGUGAAAAAAAUAUUUAGAGCAACAAAAUCUGCUGACUGAAUGAAUCUGGGGAAAUCCGCUGAGAUAAUAAACACAAAACCAUUUUUUAAAAA